GGAUUGCGAGAAAGGAAUCAACACAGAUCGUGUCCGCAUGUUUGGUCCUGAGUGAGAGACUCUCCAAAGCUGUCUUAGACAAGAAAUGGGAUCGAGCCAGAGUUGUCUGCUCUCAGCCUUUUUAAUAAGUUUGCAGGUAUAUGGUUCCCACAAGGGAUGACAGCUCAAGCCAUGAGGAAAAGGGUGAAACAGAGGAUGAAGAAGACGGGGAACCAAGCAAGAGGAGUAGAGCAUCAUGCAAGAAAGCCACACCUAAUAAAGCAAUGCCUAAAACUGCCACGCCUAAAACUGACAUGCCUAAAGUAGACACACCCAAAGAUGCUCGACCUGUUGAUGAGGAUAACAAGGAAGAAGUUGCUGCCUUAACAAUGGCCUAUCAGGUCACAAGAAAACAAGAAAGUCAAAGCUAAGCCAAGCUCUACAGAUCCCUAUGAUAGUUCCACUGAUGAGGAACCCGACAACAAGACACCAGACCCUCCAGUCUCUCCAUCGUUGCCUACUGCUGUACCUGACCUGCCUGACUUCUUUGCUGGGAAGGUGUUUUCCUCUUUGGGAUGUUUGAAGCAGAAGAGAGGAGGCAGUUGACAAGACUUAUUGUAGCAUUUGAAGGGUAUGUGUACAUGUAAUUUGUCAUUACAAAGUUUGAGUUGGGAAAGCCAUAUUGAAAAAUCUAUAUCAGGUUUCUUGGCGGUGAGAAAAAUUGCUGGAGAAUUUAUUGGGAUCCUGGUGGGAGGUUGGUGGGAUCAUUUUAUGGGAAGUUUGAAGCAGAGGAGAGAAGACAGUUGACAAGACUUAUUGUAGCACUUGAAGGGUACAAGUGUACGUGUGAUUUGCCGUUACAAAAUAUUUUAAGUUGGGAAAGGUCAA